rnacentral:lncRNA from 1 species
GAGAAGAAAAAUUUACGAUCUUGUUAAAGGUUAGAAAGUUGAAUUCUUGGCUCUAAAGAAACAAAGAAAGCAACACCUCAAUAUCAAAUGGAUAAUUGAGGAUCUUUGAUUCUUUAGCGACUCAACGACAUGUAGCGGACAUGAGCUUGACAUUGAUAGUGCAUAAGGUGAAACGACUUCCACCAACCGUCCAAAGACUCCAUUCCCAUGCAUAUAAAAGAC